rnacentral:lncRNA from 1 species
CUGUGGCCCUGGCUACAGCAGCACAGCGUGUAAUCUGGAUGUCACGUCAGGUGAACGAUCUUAUCUGGCCUGAAGUCCUAUGGCGGCAAUGCACGACCGCAUUGGGGAGGCUGAGGUUCAGGGCAAGAGCCUUUAUGGAAAGGGCAGUAACAGGCACAAGAAGGACCCAGUGAAGGAGGGAUUGGAUCCAGUUCAUCUGAAUGCUGUAAUUGGGCUGCGCAAGUGGACCCACACACACAGUGGCUAUACACGCACCUGGUCAUUCACAAACAUAUGCACACACUAGCAGGUCGUUCGAGAAUUUUGCCAUGCACCAUUCCUCUUCCCGUUAAGGCACUCCGCACGU